rnacentral:rRNA from 1 species
UACGAAGGGGGCGAGCGUUGUUCGGAUUUACUGGGCGUAAAGGGCGCGCAGGCGGCCAUUCAAGUCAGGCGUGAAAGCCCCGGGCUUAACCUGGGAGGUGCGCUUGGGACUGGGUGGCUAGAGAUCGGGAGAGGAGGAGUGGAAUUCCCAGUGUAGAGGUGAAAUUCGUAGAUAUUGGGAAGAACGACCGGGUGGCGAAGGCGGCUCUCGUGGGCCGGCUACGUGACGCUGAGGAGCGAAAGCGUGGGUAGCAAACGAGGA